AGCGAACGCUGGCGGCAGGCCUAACACAUGCAAGUCGAACGAACUCUUCGGAGUUAGUGGCGGACGGGUGAGUAACACGUGGGAACGUGCCUUUUGGUUCGGAAUAACUCAGGGAAACUUGUGCUAAUACCGAAUGUGCCCUUCGGGGGAAAGAUUUAUCGCCAUUAGAGCGGCCCGCGUCUGAUUAGCUAGUUGGUGAGGUAACGGCUCACCAAGGCGACGAUCAGUAGCUGGUCUGAGAGGAUGACCAGCCACACUGGGACUGAGACACGGCCCAGACUCCUACGGGAGGCAGCAGUGGGGAAUCUUGCGCAAUGGGCGAAAGCCUGACGCAGCCCUGCCGCGUGAAUGAUGAAGGUCUUAGGAUUGUAAAAUUCUUUCACCGGGGACGAUAAUGACGGUACCCGGAGAAGAAGCCCCGGCUAACUUCGUG
rnacentral:rRNA from 1 species